ensembl:misc_RNA Metazoa_SRP Metazoan signal recognition particle RNA
GCUGGGUGUGGUGGUGCAUGCCUGUAGUCCCAGCUAUUCGGGAGGCUGAGGCAGAAGAAUCGCUUAAACCCUGGAGGCUUAGGCUGCAGUGAGCCGAGAUCACGCCACUGCACUCUAGCCUGGCUGACAGAGUGAGACUCUGCCUAUU